GGCACGGCUCCGCCUCGCUGGGAUAAAGCUGCUCUGCUCAUGCCUGUCCGGCAGUGUCGCUUUGUACUGAUCGCAGAGAGUCACAGAAUCAGCUGAAUUGAAAGGGGCACAUCAGGAUUAUUGAGUCUCAACUCCUGGUCCUGCAUAGGACAUCUCAAGAGUUGCAUGAUGCCUGGAAGCAUUGUAAACGCUUCUCGCACUUCGUCAGCCUGGUGCUGUGACCACUGUCCUGGGGGGCCUGUUCCAGUACCCAAACACCGUCAGAAAAGGAAAGAACCUUUACGCGGUAACCUAAACCUCCCUGACACAACUUCAGGCCAUUCCCUUGGGUCCUGUCACUGAUCACCCCAGAGGAGAGAUCAGGGCCUGCCCCUCAUCUUCCCUUUACAACAGAGAAGUUGCAGACCCCAGUGGGGUCUCCCCUCAGUCUCCUCCAGGCUGAACAGACAAAAAGCCCUCAGUCACUCCUCAUAUGGCUUCACCUCAAGGCCCUUCACCAUCUCUGUGUCCCUUCUUUGGACACUCCAGUAGUUCUAGAUCUUUUUUACUUUGUGGUCUCCCAAACUGCCCUCAGCACUGGACCUGAGGCUGCCCCAGCCCAGAGCAGAGUGGGACACUCCCCUCUUGCCCAGCUGGUGAUGCUAGGACUGAUACCCCCAGGAUAUGGUUGGCCCCACAGGAUGCCAGGCUACUGUUGACUGAUGUCCAACUUACGCUCAACCAGGACCUCCUGCAGCAGUUUCCAUGGUGCUGCUCUCCAGCUUCUCAUUCCCCAAUCCCUCUGGACAUCCAGGGUCACCCCAUCCGAGGUUUGCUGAGUCUCCCAGUCCUGUGUGCAGGUUGGUUAUGAAGAUGUUGAAGAGCACAGGGCCGAAGAUGAAAACCUGUGGAACCCUACUAGUGACAGGUCACCAGUUUGACGGCACCCCAGUCACUGUAACCCUUUGUGCCCAACCCGUGAACAGUUGCUCACUCAUCAUAUGGCAUGUUUAUCCAGGUGUUCAGGAGAUCAAUUACUUGUCUCUCUGGCCCAUGUCUGUGCAGCACCUCCUGAACCACUCCCAAAUUAUACCAGAGUUGUGUCAUGCUUGAGAUUGACAGCAGGAGCUGAGUGAUGCAGACAAAGAGUGAAGCUGAAGCUGAAUUUUCUCCUGGUGGCCUUACACCAGUAGUAGAGUUGUGCCAGCCUCGCUCUGCCCACUGAAGCUGCUCACUACUUCAGCUGCUGUAGUUUUGAAGAAAUCAUGAGAAAGGAAAGGAAAAAGAAAAAAAGAGAGAGAAAGAACCAAUGACAGCGGGACAGCCUCCGGUUCCUUCUCUUUCCCCUUCUCUCCCCGUCAUCCCAUAGCUUGUCUGCAUGGAAGAUCCGUGUUUGCUCAAGGAAUCGCAGCAUGUGGCGAGUGGAGAGGGCCAGCAUCAGGAGCAUCGCGCCUCGAGGCC